rnacentral:tRNA from 1 species
CUCAGGGUAGCUUAGUGGUAGAGUGCUUGUCUGCCACACAGGAGGCCCUGAGU